AUUGAACGCUGGCGGCAGGCCUAACACAUGCAAGUCGAACGAGUGGCGGACGGGUGAGUAAUGUCUGGGAAACUGCCCGAUGGUGGGGGAUAACUACUGGAAACGGUAGCUAAUACCGCAUAACAUCUGCUGUGCCCAGAUGGGAUUAGCUAGUAGGUGGGGUAAAGGGUCACCUAGGCGACGAGCCCUAGCUGGUCUGAGAGGAAGACCAGCCACACUGGAACGGAGACACGGUCCAGACUCCGACGGGUGGCAGCAGUGGGGAAUAUUGCACAAUGGGCGCAAGCCUGAUGCAGCCAUGCCGCGUGUAUGAAGAAGGCCUUCGGGUUGUAAAGUACUUUCAGCGGGGAGGCGUUACCCGCAGAAGAAGCACCGGCUAACUCCGUGCCAGCAGCCGCGGUAAUUG
rnacentral:rRNA from 1 species